GACGAACGCUGGCGGCGUGCUUAACACAUGCAAGUCGAGCGGAAAGGCCCUUUCGGGGGUACUCGAGCGGCGAACGGGUGAGUAACACGUGAGUAAUCUGCCCUUCACUUGGGGAUAACUACCGGAAACGGUGGCUAAUACCCGAUAUGACCAAUCACUGCAUGGUGUGUUGGUGGAAAGUUUUUUCGGUGGUGGAUGUGCUCGCGGCCUAUCAGCUUGUUGGUGGGGUAAUGGCCUACCAAGGCUUCGACGGGUAGCCGGCCUGAGAGGGUGACCGGCCACACUGGGACUGAGACACGGCCCAGACUCCUACGGGAGGCAGCAGUGGGGAAUAUUGGACAAUGGGCGAAAGCCUGAUCCAGCAACGCCGCGUGAGGGAUGACGGCCUUCGGGUUGUAAACCUCUUUCAGCGGGGACGAAGCGCCGGUAAUGGUGGUGACGGUACCCGCAGAAGAAGCACCGGCCAACUACGUGCCAGCCGCCGCCGUAA
rnacentral:rRNA from 1 species